AUGGCUCAGGAAGGCAAGGUUCUCAUGUGGGUCGCCCUCCUGGUCGUGGGAGCGAGCAUCGUGGAUCUCAUGAGAUCGCGCGAGGAUGAUUCACAGGAACAGACAACUACGGUUGGGAAAUCCAUCCCGAAAUUGAAAAUGGACCUCUCCGGAUACAAAGGUGCCUUUCAACAAUAUGCAGAAGUCCUUCAGCGUCGUUAUCCCGAUAUCAGGAUAGCAGGAGAUACUUUCACCCCACCAUUCCCGAGAAACCACAUCGCUCAUUCGUUGGGUUUGAUGAAAUUCCUAAUGAUCAUCCUAGUCGUCUCUGGCAUGAAUCCAUUCGACUGGUUCCAAAGGCCAACUCCCAGCAUGUAUGAUUGGUUACUCAACAACAAAAUGUCCGGCUGCCUCAUGCUAUUCUUCAUCUCUGGAAUGAUAGAAUCGCAGCUGAUAUCGACUGGAGCUUUCGAGAUUUACCUCAAUGGAGAACAACUCUGGUCAAAGAUAAGAACUGGGAGAGUUCCCGAACUUCCGGAACUCUUCAACAUGAUCGACGAACGAAGGAAUACGCUGUUUUCAGGCACCGAAAACCAUGACUUGAAGCAGAUGCUUUGAUGCAGCUCAAGAGCGGAAGCGUUAUGAAAGCAUAGUUCUAAACCGCGAGGCGAGCUAAGCUGGAUGGGACUUCCGAUAUGACAGCACAUUUUUUCCACCGGAAGGCUACAAUAAAGGAAAAUACGAAACU